GCCGGGCUUCAGCUUCCCAUCCCGCCUGGGGAACGAGCCGCAAGCCGCAGACAUGACCCCCAGCCUGGCCAUCGCCUUCCUCCUGCUGCUCCCAGCGGGUGUCUAUUCCCAGGUCAGCCUGGUGGAGUCCGGUGGGGGAAUCAAGAAGCCCGGGGAGACCCUCAGACUGACGUGCACCGUGUCCGGAUUUUCUAUCACUAGCUAUGGGGUGCACUGGGUCCGCCAGUCAGUGGGGAAAGGGCUGGAAUGGAUGGGAGUUAUCUGGAGUGGUGGAAACAAUAACUAUAACGAUGCUCUCAAAAGUCGCCUCACCAUCACCAGAGACACCUCCAAAAGCCAAGUGUUCCUGCAACUGACCGGCCUGCAACCCGCAGACACCUCCCUGUAUUACUGUGCCAGAGACACACCCAGUGAGAGGAAACCUAUCAGAGCCAGCACUAAAACUAACCGUGCAGAGAACCAGCCUUCCUGUGUGAGCCUCUGAGAGCAGCAGCUGCCAGCACCGCGGUCUCUCUGCUUCCUUAGUUAUUGGCUUCCACAGCAAGUUACAAGCCCCUCUGAAUUAACCCCUGUAUCAUCCCAAGUCACCCAGUGAAUCAGAGACACCAAGACUGGGAAUGGAACCCAGGAGUCCUGACUCCCAGGGCCCUGCACCGAUUUGUCUAUCAUUCUGCUCAGAGGUGAAAGGAAAGACCCCAGGAAUAUUCAUACCUAGACUCAGGCUAUAGCAACUAGAUUAUUCUUCCGUCCCAUGGCUGGGGAAUAAACACGGAGUCUUUUUACCGCUGCCUGUUGUAGAUC